rnacentral:misc_RNA from 1 species
UUCUACUUCAAAAGCAUCGCAACAAUUUCUAGUAAAGAACUUUAAACCACAUGUACUAGACAUAUAACUCCAACAUAAGGAAAUAGUCCAUUAGAACCUUGCUUAAGCACCAGCUAUAGAGCCUUCCAAUGUCGCAUUGAUUUGUUACCAAGAUGCUUUCUUUACACCAUUCAACAUACCUUGGGAUGCCAACUCACGGAAAACAAUACGAGACAUUCGAAAGACCUGAUAAACAGCACGAGGGCGACCCGUAAAAAUACACCUAUUUCUCACUCGUGUAAAAGAACUGUUUCUCGGCAACUUAGACAGCUUGUAUUGGAAUUUCUCACGAAUUUCCGUUGGAAGCUGAGGAUCUCUAACAAGCGCUUUGAAAAGAUUUCGUUUCAAUUCAAAUUUGGAAGCAAGCAACCUAAGAUGAUUAUCCUUUAUACAACGAUUCUCCUCGUACACUGACAUCUUGCAAAGUUUUCCCCUAAAAUUAGUCAAACACAAAACAAGAAUAACAGUUAAGCUUUUCUUAUCACCCAAAGGGAUAAAAGACUCAGCUUUCUUCGUUCUCACUAUCAAAUCUCAUCCGUGAACAGUAGAUCAGCUAGGGUUUUA